CCUACGGGUGGCAGCAGUAGGGAAUUUUCGUCAAUGGGCGCAAGCCUGAACUAGCAAUGCCGCUUGCACUCUUCCUUUCUUCUUCUCUUCCCUUUCUUUUUCCUUUUCCCCAUAGCGGAGAGAGGAAAUGGUCUCCGAUUGAUAUUACCCUUCGAGGAAGUCACGGCUAACUACGUGCCAGCAGCCGCGGUAAUACGUAGGUGGCGAGCUUUAUCCGGAAUGAUUGGGCGUAAAGGGUGCGUAGGCGGCCUGCUAAGUCUGGAGUGAAAGGUACCGGCUCAACCGGUACAGGCUCUGGAAAAUGGCGGGAUAGAGAGCAGGAGAGGGCGGUGGAACUCAAUGUGUAGCGGGAAAAUGCGUAGAUAUAUGGAAGAACACCAGUGGCGAAGGCGGCCGCCUGGCCUGUUACUGACGCUGAGGCACGAAAGCGUGGGGAGCAAAUAGGAUGAGAGAAAAAAGUAGUC
rnacentral:rRNA from 1 species